rnacentral:rRNA from 1 species
GAUGAACGCUGGCGGCGUGUCUAAUACAUGCGAGUCGAGCGAACAGAUGAGGAGCUUGCUCCUCUGACGUUAGCGGCGGACGGGUGAGUAACACGUGGAUAACCUACCUAUAAGACUGGGAUAACUUCGGGAAACCGGAGCUAAUACCGGAUAAUAUAUUGAACCGCAUGGUUCAAUAGUGAAAGACGGUUUUGCUGUCACUUAUAGAUGGAUCCGCGCCGCAUUAGCUAGUUGGCAAGGUAACGGCUUACCAAGGCAACGAUGCGUAGCCGACCUGAGAGGGUGAUCGGCCACACUGGAACUGAGACACGGUCCAGACUCCUACGGGAGGCAGCAGUAGGGAAUCUUCCGCAAUGGGCGAAAGCCUGACGGAGCAACGCCGCGUGAGUGAUGAAGGUCUUCGGAUCGUAAAACUCUGUUAUUAGGGAAGAACAAAUGUGUAAGUAACUAUGCACGUCUUGACGGUACCUAAUCAGAAAGCCACGGCUAACUACGUG